rnacentral:lncRNA from 1 species
CUCACAUGGUGUAAUUUUUAAUACAACCACUUAGGAAGUAGACGCUAUUAUCCUCAUUUUGUAGAUGAACAAACUGAGUAGCUUUAAGUGGUUAAGCAUCUUGCCUGAAGUCAGUCCCCUAGGUUUAAGUCCCACCUUGAUCUUCUGCUAGUUAUGUGAUUUCAGCCAAACUCCAACUUUGCUGUGCUUUAGUAUCUUAAUAUAAUGGAGAUAAAACAAGUCUUCCCUGUCAUUCACUGAAGGUUACAAGUAUAACAUGUUAUACAGAAUAUUAAAGUGUCAAGUGUAUAUAGAAGUACCUUGCUUUCUCCCAGCUAGAUUACAAUCACUGGUGGACAGAGACCAGGUCACAUGCUUACUUUAAAUCCCGGAAGGUAAGACUAUAUUGCAUAUGUGGAAUGGUUAUGCAAAGGAACAAAAACUGUCGGUUUAGUCAUCUUUUUGACACAUUUACAGAACAGCCACCUCUGUGCCACAAUGCUACUGGGACGCAGAGGUGAAGAGGUGCCACCACCGUCAAGAGGCCUUGGAGAAAGACCAUGGCACAUUAAAGACCAGCUGUAGUCCAUCUCCCCUGAAGCCUGGCCAACAGAUCAAGGAGAACAUGGCUUGAGCUGCAAAAACAGACCAGAGAGAGAAACCCUGGGAAACUAGGCUCUAGCGGGUAGCUCAGGAGGGGAACCCACACUGCAGAGGAAAAGUAAAGAGGCCUGGGUGCCGGGAUUAACUCUAAUCAUCCGUGAGACUCUGGCAAGACAUGCUCUCCCUCAGAACCUCCAAAGACUGGAGUGAUCAGGUUUUUCAACUUUUAACAAAGGCCCAGCGUUUCUAACCAAAUAUAAUCUCCCUAAACCCUCAGUUUCUCAUGCACUUCCUCUUUGAGGAUUGCUCUGCUGCCUGUUUAUUCCUCAGAAACCAAGUUUCACUUUCUGAAAUCUGUUAUAAAGCCAGGCGACUUUUCAUUGUUACACUAUAAAUUAUGAUACCAAAUAAAAACUUCUAAAAAGUAUAUACAAGGAUAAUCUGAAAUUCAGCCAUAAGCCUGAGUGUGUGUCAUUGAGAGUUAGGAACUAAAUGCUCUAAAACAAACUGUGAUGUUUUCUGGUUGUUCCUCAUUUCCAUUCCUGACUUAGCCUGAACUGCAAUUUUACUAAAGCUCCUUUGCUUCCCCUUCACACACGUUAAGAAUUCACCACAGGAACAUGUGCUUUUGUGCUCAUUGAACUAAAGCCUCCUCCCCAAACUAUGCUCUGCCAAGUUGUUUCCGGUAAGCAACUUUGGAAAAUAAAAAUUCCCUAGACAUUUUGAACAGUGGUUUGAGAGGAAGACACACAACCCGACAGGGGAACUGAAACAUUCCCCCUUGUGUCCACUUCUGUCCUGGGAGGAUGGGGGAAGGAAGUCGUGGAAGAAGCUUUUUAGAGGAAACAGACUCGCAGGACUUUUGCUGCAAACAAUUGGGUACUGUAUCCAGCUGUUGACCGAG